UACAGAGGUCCCGAGCGUUGUUCGGAUUCAUUGGGCGUAAAGGGCGCGUAGGCGGUUCGUUAAGUCCUGUGUGAAAUCCCCCGGCUCAACUGGGGAACUGCACAGGAAACUAGCGGGCUUGAGUUCGGGAGAGGGAAGCGGAAUUCCGGGUGUAGCGGUGAAAUGCGUAGAUAUCCGGAGGAACACCGGUGGCGAAGGCGGCUUCCUGGACCGACACUGACGCUGAGGCGCGAAAGCUAGGGGAGCAAACGGG
rnacentral:rRNA from 1 species